rnacentral:rRNA from 1 species
GCGGUAAUACGUAGGGGGCAAGCGUUAUCCGGAUUUACUGGGUGUAAAGGGAGCGUAGACGGCACGAAGUCUGAAGUGAAAUACCCGGGCUCAACCUGGGAACUGCUUUGGAAACUGUGUUGCUGGAGUGCUGGAGAGGUAAGCGGAAUUCCUAGUGUAGCGGUGAAAUGCGUAGAUAUUAGGAAGAACACCAGUGGCGAAGACGGCUUACUGGACAGUAACUGACGUUGAGGCUCGAAAGCGUGGGGAGCAAA